AUUGCUUUUAGACUACCAUGCUUAGGUUCCAGAUUUUCUUUGUUCCCCUACCUUGGAGAAAUUUAAUUUCCAAGUAGAAAAGUCUUUCCUAUUAUAUUAUAUAUAAUUUUCUUGUAUAUAUAACUACAUAUUUCUAGCUACUUGUUAGAAAUAUUGAAUCUACCAUUUGGCAGCAUGGAGCUUCUGCAACUUUUGUUCCUAAUCUCCAUUGCCACAACCACAACCUUGUGCUUGUCUACCACAAAUCAGGAUUAUUCAUUGAAAAAGCAGAUAGUUGGGCUCGCCAAUGAGUUUCACACAGUAAAUUGGAUGAAGAAUGUGAGGAGAGAAAUCCAUGAAAACCCAGAACUUGCAUAUGAAGAAUUCAAAACAAGUGCACUCAUUAGGCGCGAGCUUGACAAGCUUGGUGUUGCAUAUACAUGGCCUGUGGCGCAUACUGGUGUGGUGGCCACUAUUGGCUCUGGCUCUCCUCCCUUUGUUGCUCUGAGAGCAGAUAUGGAUGCUUUGCCCAUUCAGUGCAGUGUUCAAUUUGAUGUUCUUAAUCAAAAAGAACUUUAUAUAUUUAUAAAUUUUUCAUCUUUUUUCGGUCACCUUAUAAAUCUACUAUCACAUUGUUACAGGGAACAGUUGUUCUUAUAUUUCAACCAGCUGAGGAACGCGGCAUAGGUGCGAAGGACAUGAUCAAAGAAGGGGUGCUUGAUAAUGUGGAGGCCAUCUUUGGGUUGCACGUAGUGCAUAGAUAUCCAAGUGGUGUUGUUGCAUCAAGGCCUGGAGAAUUUCUAGCUGGUUGUGGGAGCUUCAAAGCAAAGAUUCAUGGAAAAGGGGGUCAUGCAGCAAUUCCUCAACAAUCCAUUGAUCCAAUUGUGGCAGCAUCAGCAUCAGUGAUUAGCUUGCAAAACAUCGUCUCGAGAGAGGCAGACCCUUUAGAUUCCCAGGUGGUUUCUGUAGCUAUGAUUCAAGCAGGGACUUCAUUUAACAUCAUCCCGGAAUCAGCUACAAUUUCCGGUACUUUUAGAGCUUUUAGCAAGAAGAGCUUCAAUGCAAUCAGGGAAAGAAUAGAAGAGGUUGUAAAAGGGCAGGCAGCUGUACAUAGGUGCUCUGCUGAGAUUGAAUUCUUAGGAAAUGAACAUCCUAGCAUCCCCCCUACUAUAAACGAUGAGAGAAUUUACGAACAAGCAAGACGCAUUUCAACCGAAAUAGUAGGAAAAGAAAACACAAAAUUAGCUCCUACCUUCAUGGGGAGUGAGGAUUUUGCUUUCUACUUGGAUAAGGUACCUGGGUCAAUGCUAUUUUUAGGCACAGGAAAUGAAAAGAAAGGAGCCAUAUAUGCGCCACAUAGUCCUUACUUUUUCAUUGAUGAGGAUGUGCUUCCUAUUGGUGCUGCAAUACAUGCAGCUUUUGCCCAUUCUUACCUAUCAGAUUCAACUGGGAAGUUGCACCUUCAUAUCUGAAAGUCCCUUCUUCUUAGUUACUCCAAUUAUUUCAUUAAAUGUGAAGUAUACAACUUACUUGUUCCUCCAUUGGUGUUUCUUCAAGCUGGAUGGUGGAAGUUCUACAGAGACUUGCCGGUUAUGUAUAUAUUUAUGAUUUAAAUUCAUAUCACAAGUUCAGUCUGUUUCACAAAUCAGCUCACUUAUACGUUCAUCUCAAUUGGUCUUGUUAACCAAAUCCUUGAUAUCUCCACCAGAUGGUAAAUGAAGUUUUUCCUUCUUUCUUUUA